UUAAAAAAAAACUUUGUGAGUUGCUCUGGAAGGAGCUUGUGUCAUGGCUAAAGCUAAAUCAGUCUCAGGCCUUUACCCUAGGCAGGGUCCGAGUAUAGCUUAGGGAACAAGGAUAUUUUAGUUAAGUAUUAUUAAUUUUGACGACUAGAUGCCACUGAGCUUAUGGCUCUAAUGGCAUUCCAGUCUCCUUCCUCUUAAAAGGUUUUGGGUUCGAACUUUUGCUACAGAAGUUCGGCAGCAUCGAGUGUUAACGACGAGAUUCUUGAGAGGCUCGUUGAAGGAGCUGUUGAUGCAGAUAUGAACAAGCUCCUCCGAGAAUUAUAAAGCAUGGGGCAAACUCUUGGGACGAGAACAUUGUUUACACGGAGUCAGUGGACUUCUCUUUUGUUGAGAACAUUAUCUAAUUAAAGCUUCUUAAGUAUGAGAUAGAGAUUGUUUUGUAAAAAUCUGAGUGCGCUGUACCUAUAGUUCACAAAAUGGCCAUCAGAAACUUCUGCAGAAGGAUACUGUACAUAGGUCUGUAUCUGCUUAUCUGGGGUGUAGGAGCUAAUGUUUGCUUGAUGCCGGAAUGUCUGCGCUAUAUUUUCACAAUGUUUCUAUUAGUUCACUCUCUAAUUCACCGAUUUUCAUUAUCCAUUGCAUGUUCAGUUAACUUAAGAGUCUCAUUCGAAUACCCUCAUUUAGUCAUUUAUGUCAGAUGCCCAGUGAACUCCAUGGUCUGCUGUCAGGAACUGCCACAUUGCUUUUGCCGAAAACUUGAAACCUUACGGUGAGGGUGAUGGGGAGUUCUAAAGGAACAUCAUUUUUCCAUGAAAGUGAGAAGGUGCAGUAGAGCAAUUAUGCUUUAAUUCAGUCAUCAAAACUUAGUUGUUUCUGCUCUAAAAAUACGAAAAAGGUUAUAAAAUCAUAGCUAGAUUAGUUUUUUUGAUUUCUUGAUUCUGAUUAAUACCGAGCUCUUCACAUUUCAAAUAUGCUGAUAGGUGAGGACUGUGAACAUCUUCCAAGCUUAACAUCAAACAUUCACAUUACAUAAGGUAUCUAUUGCAACAUGGAAUACCAUUAAAUGGUAUGCUUUAAAUUCAGGGGAUUGAGAUGAUUGGAGCAAAUGCCUGAGUUUAUAAGAUUCUGGUGAAGAACACGUAGACAACUGAUGAAACUGUCGUAUAGCUAUCGGAGCUAUAAUUUGGUUGAGAAUCCUGCUAAACUUAUCCACGUUACUUCUAUUUCACCAAUUGUGAGGAUAUGACUUAUGGGGACUUCCCUGCAAGACUCUUUCUACAUGUGAGGCUGAAUAUGUGGCAGCAGCUUCCUGUGUUUGUCAUGCUGUGUGGUUAAGGAGAAUUUUGAGAUAAGUGCAUUGUCUUCUCAGCUGGGGUGAAGCAGAGAAUGAUACUUUACUUUGGUAUGCAUCUUCUCAUCUGGGGUAAAGCAGCUAAUGUUCAGUUCAUGCCAGAAUGCAUACGCUAUAUUUUUCACCAUAUGGCACGCGUGCUCCAAGACCUGUUGUCUUUCACUGCCAGCAUUGCCUCUGUCCAAAAUGUGAUGCCUUAAUAUCGUGGAGGUGAUGGGGCAUUUCUGAGGAAUGUUAGAGCACCACUUUACCAUGCAGUUGAAAAGGUGUGUUGUAGAACAAAUGUGCAUGCUGUUAUGAAACCUUAAGUUCUCUCUGCUAUAUAUCAACAACGAUUGUGCUUUAUUAUUCCAGGGAGCCUGUGAAAUUGAACCUGGAAAUGCUUCAAAAUCGUUAUUAUGAUGAUCUUAACGAGCAUUUCAAGUUAGCCUGAAUUUAAAUAUUAGAAAUCAAAUCAAGAAACAUUACUUUACUAGUUCUUGGAUUGCUUCAUCUGAUCAAUUCUUGUUUUUGCUAUAUCCUAUGCUGGUUCUGUGAUUGUAUCUAUCUCGGUUGGUCAAUUCGGGAUGACAGAAUUCUUAUCAAAUCAACACAUGAUGUGGAACAGGCAGUUUCUUUUUCUGAGCAGGUUUCACCUCCGAAUGCUUAAAUUGAUUUAUUUGGUCUGUGCAUAAUUUGAUUACCGGUCCUAGGAAGAAAGGCUUCCGCAAGAAAUCUAGCAAAAUCAUAUUUUGCUGAAAUCUGAACAUUUUGGGACAACAUUCAUAAUUAAUUUUGGCAAAUCGCCAAGGACUUUUUCCUGAUUUAUUUUCUGUCUCUGAUGAAAACCAGAAAGCAGAGUAAGUAGUCAGAACUGAUCCCAAUUUCCUUACAGAGAUCCACUCAGAAAAGCUUAUUAAAAAGCAGAUCUCUGAAGUUCUUUGAACAAUUGAAAAGAUGGAGAAGGACUUCUCAUAAGGUUAAUUAGUCCCUUUUCUUGUCUGUCCCAUUGUAGUUUGUUGUGCAAGAUUCACAAAAGUUAUUGAGCAAUUACGUUGCACUUCAAAUUAAUUGACACAGUUUCAUUUCCUUUUCUCUUUUCCUUUUCACUAUGCUUUAAAUCAGAUUGGUACAAAAUGUAGUUGUCUUUUGAUAUCAGACAUGCGAAAAAACAAGUAUAGAUAACUAAAAGCUUUCUGGAAUCAGAUUUGUCUUAUUGCUGUUAUCAUCUCCUGCAUGUUGAGAAAAUGACAAUAUGCAUGCAAAGAGUAUGGUGGUGGGUGAAGGACUUAAGAACAGUUUCCAAGCUGAACAGCAUGCUUCACAUUUCUAUAUCAUUUCAUAAUUUCUGUGCGCAUCGAGGGUCUUGCUUAGACUUAGUUAUGUUGAAACAAGAUAUAUCGAACACGGGAUCUUGAAAAUUGACAGAUACAAUAUAAUUCAAAAUUGAUGCAGUUCGAUCCGGCCUUCAUAUCUAAUGUCUGGUUUACUUUUUUCCAGAAAAAUGAAAUGGAUAGCAUUUUAUUCUUAUUCAUGUGAAUGCAGAUUCUCAUACAUUCAUGAGAAUCUUUCUUAUCUCAACAUCCUCUUGGAAUCACAAGAAAAAAAAAAGGCUAAGUGAUAAUCGAAAGCGAAGCAAACAAUCAGCCCUUGGGGGUAAAGGCAGUGCUUCUUUUGAACUAAAUGGAGUAACCAAUAACUCGGCAACUUAGACCGACCCGGCAACGCAGAGCCACUGUCCUACAAAGAGAGCAGUGCAGUUGAGAUUGGGGUUGAUAGCAUCAAAGGAUGCAGCUGUCAAAUUAAAGGACUGUGCAAUGGUAAAACAAGUGUCUCCACUUGCUGCUCCAACCACUUCAUCACAUUCUGGGGUACUUUUGGCGAAGAAACCAGCAGCUGCUCAUCAGACAUUGUUUAACAUUUGAAAGAAAAUGAAGUCAAUAUAUUUCAUGAAAACAUAAGUUAAUAUUUAAUGCUAUCUAAAGUACUUACUGCCAAGAAUGCGACUUUCAGCCAUGGAGAUAAUGAGGAGAAAGGAGAGCACCAAGAUUGAGCUCAAAACAAAGGCUGAUAUGCGGUUUCCCUGGGCCAUUUUAAGGAAUAUGUGUUUUCCUUCCUCUCUAGUGGAUAUUCAGUUUAUACUUUUCUGUUUUGUGGGUUGCGGACUCUCAUGUCCAGCACUUCUAUUUAUACUACAAUGUUCCAUUGUUAAUGAUGAA